CAUAAUUAUUCAUUUAGAGACGAAUGUUUUUCUUGCCAUUUCUUAUUUAUUAAAUUUAAAUAAUAACAAUUUUGAAUUGUUUACCUUUAUUAUUUACAGUAUGAUAUGUGACAGUGUAGGUACAAGGUACAUAGCAUAAAAACUAAAAACGCAAAGUGCACGAGACUUGAACUAACAUGAUGAUAAACAAAAUACACAAAAGUAUUGUUACAUUUCAGUGGUUGAUUUUUUCUGAAUUCUUUAAAUGAAACAAAGACAAUGUAUCGUUAAAACAUAUUGCUAUGGUUGCAAUUCUUUUCAAAUAAAUGAGUUAAUCAAAACACUCAAUUUGAGAGUCGAGGAGAAAUUAAGAUGAUAUUUUAUGAGUACUUAACAUAGCCGCCGAAGAUUAGACCACCUGUUGAUCGACGACCAGUAACAAGCAACCGUAGAACAAUCCAUUCAAAGAAUAUUGUUGUCGUUUGGAGACAACAAGAGUCACUUGGCACAACAUCCUAGCUAGAAUUUAUGCAAUGUGACAGACGUGAUGAUUAGACAAUACAGCAAUUAAUAAUUGAAAUAAUUUGGUCGGGAAACGACAAUGCUGUAUAUUUCCACAAGUCAAGGCAAUCAGACAGAGCGAUUAGACAAAAAAGAAGUCAAGUGCGCC